CAAUUCUGAACUUUAACACCUAACUUUUGUUCAUUUACGAAUAACACCUUCCUGUAGAGUAGAUGAUCGCGCUUCAUGUGUGCUGUGUUAUUGACAAAGGAUCCUUGAUCUGCGAUUGCCGCAUUUUUGUUUUGGCUCAACACUGCUCUGAAGUGUAAUGUACCGGACGGCAAAGGCGCAUGCGCGCGACGCCGCUCGCACCCACGCGGCUUUCAGUGCGCCAUUGUGCUUCAACGAACGUGGUUGUUAGUGUGCUGAGCUGGUGUGACUAUUGAGCAUUGAGGAAGACCCACCUGCUCCGGAACGGAGGAGGAACUCGAACACCUUCUACUCGAGAUGCGUGAGGAGCAGGUCGUUUUUGGCCCUGCGACAACGAACGGACCGUCCACCAUCGCAGAUGGCGCACUUUGGGUCGAAAGGGAGAAGAUCGCCAAAUUCCAAACAAUGGCGAACAUGCAGGACGAGCUGUCCAUCACGAACAUCGCUAUCUUUUUCGAGCGCGCUCGAAGGCGCUGGACUCGAACGCCUAGCCCCGGUUCAUAUCUGCAGAGGACUCGCCGUUUCAUGUACUUGUUGCACGGAUCAACGUCCAAUAAAUGUUAAAAUAUUCUGACA